GUGAUAGUGAUAGUAAAGAAACAAGUGAUAGUGCUAAUGUAGAAAUAAGUGAUAAUGUUAGUAUAAAAAAGUGUAAUAGUGAUAGUGUUAGUAAAGAAACAAGUGAUAGUGCUAAUGUAGAAAUAAGUGAUAAUGUUAGUAUAAAAAAGUGUAAUAGUGAUAGUGUUAGUAAAGAAACAAGUGAUAGUGCUAAUGUAAAAAUAAGUGAUAAUGUUAGUAUAAAAAAGUGUAAUAGUGAUAGUGCUAGUAUAGAAAUAAGUGAUAGUGCUAAUGUAGAAAUAAGUGAUAAUACUAAUGUAGAAAUAAAUGAUAGUGCUAAUGUAGAAAUAAGUGAUAAUCCUUAUACACCAAAUAGCUUAAGACGAAAUGAUUAUUAUGAAUCAACUAUGAAAUGUAAAAGCAAUAUAGUUACGAAAUCAACAUUAGAAAGUAAACAAACGUCGAGCAAAUGUGUAAAAUAUAUUUCAAACCCAUUAACUACAUUUAGAUCAGACGAAUCAGGAGAAAAUAUAAAUUAUCCCAUUAGAUAUGGUGCUACUAUGUUUGAGUUAUCAAAAAACACGGAACAACAGAUAAUAGAAACUCCAAAAAGAUGGUUUAGUGAAAAUGUGACAUCAUAUAAAAACGAUGUAUAUAAUAAUCAAAUUAAAAAAAACAAUAAUAAUAAAAAAAAAAAAAAAAAAAUUAAAAAAAAAAAAGCUAAAAAAUAAAGAUGGGAAUGUAGACUAUAAAAAAGUCAAAUCAUUAUAUGAUGAAGUUUAUCACAAAGGUAGUUAUUAUUUUAACAAACUUAUAAGUAAUAGUGAUAGCAUUAAACAAUAUAUAACAGAUUAUGAUAAAAUAUUAAAAAAUAAUGAGUUUCGGGCUAAUAGUUUUAUAAAUUAUGAAUAUAAAGAAACCAUCGAUGGUUACUCAAGUGAUUCGAGCGUUACAGAAAAUGAAUUCCUUAAUAACAUGUAUGACUGUUUUGCGUAUUUUAUGGUUAUGGCGGUAUAUACAUAA
rnacentral:lncRNA from 1 species